rnacentral:tRNA from 1 species
UCCUUGGUGGUCCAGUGGAUAAAACUCUGCACUCCCAAUGCAGGGGCCUGGGUUUGAUCCCUGGUCGGGGAA